CCUACGGGGCGCUGCAGUGGGGAAUAUUGGACAAUGGGCGAAAGCCUGAUCCAGCCAUGCCGCGUGUGUGAAGAAGGCCUUCGGGUUGUAAAGCACUUUCAGUGGGGAAGAAAGCCUUGGGGCUAAUACCCUCGAGGAAGGACAUCACCCACAGAAGAAGCACCGGCUAACUCCGUGCCAGCAGCCGCGGUAAUACGGAGGGUGCGAGCGUUAAUCGGAAUUACUGGGCGUAAAGCGCGCGUAGGCGGUCUGAUAAGCCGGUUGUGAAAGCCCCGGGCUCAACCUGGGAACGGCAUCCGGAACUGUCAGGCUAGAGUGCAGGAGAGGAAGGUAGAAUUCCCGGUGUAGCGGUGAAAUGCGUAGAGAUCGGGAGGAAUACCAGUGGCGAAGGCGGCCUUCUGGACUGACACUGACGCUGAGGUGCGAAAGCGUGGGUAGCAAACAGGAUUAGAUACCCGGGUAGU
rnacentral:rRNA from 1 species